CUCUCGGCAGCCAUUCCUUUAUUAGAAGAUGAUCCUCAUGUACUUUCCACCAUCAAGUCUCUUCUCUAGAUUCAACAUGCUUCAUUCAUUCAAGAAUUCUUUGUAUCAUGGUUCUCAAAUUCCUUUGCCAACUUUGGUGAUUUGCUAUUUACCAACUAUCUUCUGAAAAUGUGAUAAAAAAUAUUCCAAACAUAUUUUCUGACCAGUUUAGACAUUAGUGGGGCUUAGCACCCUUGUUUGGCAUAUUUUUCAUUUAUGAAUGCAGACUAAGUGUGUAUUCAAUUUUUUGGAUGCCUCCUUACAUGGUUGGCUCACACUGAGCUUACAGGAAAUCAUGGUUCCCAGGUUGGUAGUGACCACGCUUGCUGCCCUUUAGCCACAUCUUUGCCAUCUGUACACAUUCACUUACUUUUUUUACUCAAAUACAGGUUCUUUUCACUAUGAAGUUUCAUCCUGUUAGAGCAAACACAUUGUUAUAUCUGGUUGAGAUGGUUUGGGAAUCUUUCUUGUCAUCAAACACAAUAAAUAUCUCUCCUAGCUUCAUCUGCUGAUCUGCCAUUACCACCAUGUCAUCUAUAUCCUUGGGCAACUUAGAUACCUGUUGAACAGGAUGAGAUUUCAAGAGUGACUUCUUUAUGAGGAAAACAAACCAUCAAUGAAAAUAACCUAAAGACCCUUCUCCCUCCAUUCUGCUCCCUGACCAGUUCCAGCCUGAGUACCGAGCAUACAUAUGAAUCAAUGUUGACUUGAUGAUAAAAUAAUCUAACAAUUAAAGACCAGUGCAACUAUUUUACUUUGGCAACCCAGUUUGUGGUAAAUUAUACCUUAACCAGUUUUUAUCAGAUUUUUUUUCUUUUUCUUUUUUCUUUUUUUUUCUUUUUUCUUUUUUCUUUUUUUUUUUUGUACAGAUUAGGUCUCCUUGAAAACUGUUGGUGAAUUUGCCAAGAUUUCCAAUGAAAUGGUUGGUCCCAAUGAUUCCUAAGUUACUUCCAGAAUGCUCCCGGCAUCAAUUGAUGUGGAAGCUGCAUUGCACCAGAGGAAGAAAUUGUCUAUGUCGAUGCCAAAAGGAGGGCUCUGCUGAGAUGGAUACGGGAUACCCAGAUGAAGCAACUUUCAUAGGAUUUGGACCCGGGACACCAGCCACAUAUACAUGAAUAACACAUAUCAUAGACCUAUCAAGAAGAAGAUUAAAUUUCUCUCGACUCUGG
rnacentral:lncRNA from 12 species